GCGGGCGUAACUCAAUGGUAGAGUACCAGCCUUCCAAGCUGGUGGUUGCGCGUUCGAGUCGCGUCGCCCGCU
rnacentral:tRNA from 4 species